ensembl:lncRNA novel transcript
GGCCACGGCGCGCCUGCUCUGGGCUCUCCGCGUGCCGCGUCGCUUUCUUUUCUUCCUCUGGAGCAGUUAUGGCGGCGGCGAAGACCCUGAACCCCAAGGCCAAGGUGGCCGGAGCGCAGGCGGCGCUGGCGUUCAACAUUAGCGGGGCGCGGGGUCUGCAGGACGUGCUGAGGACCAACCUGGGGCCCAAAGGGACCAUAAAGAUGGCCUUCAUCCCAGAAUAAUCACUGAAGGAUUUGAAGCUGUGAAGGAAAAGCCCUUCAUUUUUUGGAAGAAGUCAAAGUAAGCAGAGAGAUGGACAAGGAAACACUUAAAGAUGUGGCCAGGGCAUCUCUUUGUACUAAAGUUCAUGCUGAACUUGCAGAUGUCUUAACAGAGGCUGUAGUGGGCUCCAUUUUGGCCAUUAAAAGAAAAGAUGAACCUAUUGAUCUCUUCAUGAUUUUGUGAUCAUUGACAAGAAACAUAAAUCUGAAACUGAUACAAGAGAAGUGAAUUCUGGCGUUUUUUACAAGAGUGCAGAAAGAGAAAAACUCAUAAAAGCUGAAAGAAAAUUCAUUGAAGAUAGAGUUAAAACAAAUAAUAGAACUGAAAAGGAAAGUCUGUAGUAAUUCAGAUAAAGGAUUUGUUAUUAAUCAAAAGGGAAUUGACCCCUUUUCCUUAGAUGCUCUUUCAAAGAAGGCAUAGUCGCUCUUCACAGAGCUAAAAGGAGGAAUAUGGAGAGGCUGACUCUUGCUUGUGGUGGGGUGGCCCUGAAUUCUUUUGAGGACCUAAGUCCUGACUGCUUGAGACAUGCAGGACUUGUAUAUGAGUAUACAUUGAAGUUCACCUUUAUUGAGAAGUGUAACAACCCUCGUUCUGUCACAUUAUUGAUCAAAGGACCAAAUAAGCCCACACUUAGAUCAAAGAUGCAGUAAGGGAUGGCUUGAGGGCUGUCAAAAAUGCUAUUGAUGAUGGCUGUGUGGUUCCGGUGCUGGUGCCGUGGAAGUGGCAAUGGCAGAAGCCCUGAAUAAAUAUAAGCUCAGUGUAAAGGGCAAGGCACAGCUUGGAGUCCAAGCAUUUGCUGAUGUGUUGCUCGUUAUUCCCAAGGUGAGCCCGUGGUAGCAGCAGAAGCAGGCAUUAUGGGAUAACGAUUGUGUAAAGAAACAGCUUCUUCAUUCCUGCACUGGUUGCCACCAACAUUCUCUUGGUUGAUGAGAUCAUGCGAGCUGGAAUCUUCUCUGAAAGGUUGAAUUGAAGCUUCCUCUGUAUCUGAGUCUUGAAGACUCUGCAAAGUGAUCCUGAAGAAUACAGCUGUGGAAUUUUUGUCCAAGCUUCAAAUGAGUUUCAAGGGAAUUUUCCCAUGUGAAAAAAGGAGAGAACACUGGCAUCUGUUGAAAUUCGGAAGUUCUGAAAUUAUAAUCACAGUAUUUUUUAAAAAUUGCACUGAAGUGUACACAGAUAAAGCAGGUCUUUCACCCAGUGAACAGGAUGUUUUGCUUUAGCAGCAGUGACAUAAAAUUCCAUGUUAAAUAAGCAUAUAUUACCUACCUUAUUAAAUAUUCCUUGAAAAAGCAGAUUUUAAUGGUUUAAUUUUAUGUGGACAUAUGUUAAAUUAUUCAGCAGUACCCUAUUGUUAAGCAUCUGGUUUUAAAAUUUUUAUGCUAAUAUAAAUAACGCUUAGUAAUUUAAAAUUUUGGAAGCAUCCCGUUAGUGUAAAUUUCUGAGUAAAUUUAUUGAUCAGUUGGACUUUUCACGCUUUUGAAAUAGCUUUGCUAAAAUGCUCCCCCUACAAAGUUGUAGGAAAUGGGAAGAGGAGUAAACUAGAGGCAAGGGAGUUGAGAGAGCUGGAAGGCAUGGUGGCUAAGGGCUACGGUUAUCAGGUGAAAUUUGAGAUUUGUAGGCUGACUAUAUUUUCAAGCUUCUGAACUUUUGCUUAUGCAAAAUAUUCAUCCCAAAGCCUCUAGCGUCAUAGUUUCCUCACCCAAAUUACUAUGUUUCCACAAGAUUUAUAUAGUUGGUCUAUCUCUGCGGUCCUUGAAAGUGAAGUUGGUGUUACUAGGCUGUGGGUUUUGGGGGCUCAGCAGUGACCUGGAGUGUGCAAAUAAAUGUUAAGUUGAAA